rnacentral:rRNA from 1 species
CCUACGGGGUGCUGCAGUGAGGAAUAUUGGUCAAUGGGCGCUAGCCUGAACCAGCCACGUAGCGUGAAGGAUGACUGCCCUAUGGGUUGUAAACUCCUUUUACAUGGGAAUAAAGUGCAGUAUGUAUACUGCUUUGCAUGUACCUUAUGAAUAAGGAUCGGCUACCUCCGUGCCAGCAGCCGCGGUAAUACGGAGGGUUCGAGCGUUAUCCGGAUUUAUUGGGUUUAAAGGGAGCGUAGGCGGGUUGUUAAGUCAGUUGUGAAAGUUUGCGGUUCAACCGUAAAAUUGCAGUUGAUACUGGCAUCCUUGAGUACUGGAGAGGUAGGCGGAAUUCGUGGUGUAGCGGGGAAAUGCUUAGAUAUCACGAAGAACUACGAUUGCGAAGGCAGCUUGCUGCAGCGGAACUGACGCUGAUGCUCGAAAGCGCGGGUAUCGAACAGGAUUAGAUACCCGGGUAGUC